AGAGAAAUAGCUCAGUGGUAGAGUAUGUGUUCAGCAUGCGUGAGGUCCCUGGGUUCAAUCCCCAGUCCCUCCA
rnacentral:tRNA from 1 species